rnacentral:rRNA from 1 species
UACGUAGGGUGCAGGCGUUAAUCGGAAUUACUGGGCGUAAAGCGUGCGCAGGCGGUGAGCUGUGUCCGAUGUGAAAGCCCCGGGCUUAACCUGGGAAUGGCAUUGGAAACUGGCUCGCUGGAGUGUGGCGGAGGGGGGGUGGAAUUCCGCGUGUAGCAGUGAAAUGCGUAGAGAUGCGGAGGAACACCGAUGGCGAAGGCAGCCCCCCUGGGCUAACACUGACGCUCAGGCACGAAAGCGUGGGGAGCAAACAGG